CAGUGCUCUAUUAUACGCCUUCAGCAGUAUCACAGAUGCCUCCUCUGUAGAUUAUAUAUUUCCACAAAACCAAAAGAGAAGAAAAGCAGUGUGAAGAUGUUUUUCAGACAUUCACAUAUUCUCUGGAUCCUGAUCAUCUGCGAAACUGUUUCAGGUGAUUAUGUGAAAGCAGUGAAGAGUGAAACUACGUUCACUCCAGUGACUGGAUCUCUUCCUCCUGGCACCACCAGCAUUAUAUGGAAACACCGAAACAAUGCUGGGGUUGUUGUGAAGGUCAUUGAAUGGGACCGGGAUGAUGGCAGCACUGAAAUUCCCAACGCUAAUUUCAAAUCCCACGCAAGCCUGAACAAAGGCACUGGAGAACUCACUUUAAGAAAUUUACAGCUCAAACACACUGGAGUUUACACCAUCGACAUCAACAGUAAAGAGCAAAGAAAACAGUUCGCCCUGACUGUUAUAGAGCCUGUCAACAAACCUCAUAUUACAGAAGAGUGCAUACUAGGAGAUGCUCCUAUAUGUACCUUGAUUUGUGAUGGUGGUGAUGGCCCCUCUGAAACUACAAUCACCUGGGAAAACUCAGCUGGAGAGACACAAGAUCGUAAUGUAUGGGUAAUAACAGUGACCAAGAGCAGUAUCCCAGAAAACUUCUACACAUGCACACUAAAGAACGCAGUGAGUGAGGAGACCAGUGAUCCGGUGUAUGAGAGAGAUCUGUUUAAUGAUUCAAAUACCAAAUCUGUUAUUGCAAUUGUCACUCCUUUGAUCAUUGUGGUGCUCAUCAUAAUCAUCCUGAUUAUGUUAUGGUUGUGCUGCUGCUAGCUUCGGACACUAAAAUGACAUUCAUGAGUGAAUGACUGACGCUCAUCACGAACCUCUUCAAAUGUAAAGCCACACGUGGAUCUUCUCGGCACAUUUGCCUGGUCAUCUGCUCUAAUUCCCAGCUUUACUAAAACCUCUUAACCGUCUGUGCCUUCAGAACUCUGACUGUUGCUUUCUGACCUGUCUGCUGAGCCAAGAUGAUGUAAAAAUGAAACUUUCUCCUCUGAAUUUGAAUCUUUGAAUCUUCUCUAACAUAUACAAAUACUUUUUCAAUCAGCGACAAGAUGAGAAUAUAUUACUGGCACCAAACAUAGAGUUGUGUAUAAAUAAACAAAACAUUCUGUUUCAUUUGUCUUUUGUGGUGGAGAAUAGAGAAGGUGUUUUAUUCUAUUUAAUUUAUCCAAAACGAAGGGAUAGUUGGAUGCAGGACAUGAACCAAUAAAACUGAAUGCAAUGUAAAUCACUUUGAAUAAAAUCCUCUGUCAAAUGUAAAA